UAAAAAUUAAUAGAAAGUUGUCGUUAUAAGACCGUGUUUACAUGGUCUGUAGCGUAGAUGGAAUGGGGUUAAACUCCCCGCGCAACCGGCACUGUAAGCGUGAGGCCAUACCAAAGCAGCAAAAUUUUGCUGUAUGGACGAAAGUCCGCCACUGUGAAUGCGUUUUAUCGCAGCAUGGGAAGGUAGGAUAUGGACGCAGGAAGCAAAUGCUUCCCUAACGCAAGUCAGGAGACUUACAUCUUUCUUUGUGUACAC
rnacentral:ncRNA from 2 species